GAUGAACGCUAGCUACAGGCUUAACACAUGCAAGUCGAGGGGAAACGAUAGAGAAAGCUUGCUUUUUCUAGGCGUCGACCGGCGCACGGGUGAGUAACGCGUAUCCAACCUGCCCAUCACUUGGGGAUAACCUUGCGAAAGUAAGACUAAUACCCAAUGACGUCUCUAGAAGACAUCUGAAAGAGAUUAAAGAUUUAUCGGUGAUGGAUGGGGAUGCGUCUGAUUAGCUUGUUGGCGGGGUAACGGCCCACCAAGGCGACGAUCAGUAGGGGUUCUGAGAGGAAGGUCCCCCACAUUGGAACUGAGACACGGUCCAAAACUCCUACGGGAGGCAGCAGUGAGGAAUAUUGGUCAAUGGGCGAGAGCCUGAACCAGCCAAGUAGCGUGCAGGAUGACGGCCCUAUGGGUUGUAAACUGCUUUUAUAAGGGAAUAAAGUGGGAGUCGUGACUCUUUUUGCAUGUACCUUAUGAAUAAGGACCGGCUAAUUCCGUG
rnacentral:rRNA from 1 species